rnacentral:lncRNA from 1 species
CUACCUAAAUUUUAUUAUUUAUUUAUUUAUUUAUUUUCUUUUAUUGGUAGCAUUCUCUCAUUCAUCAGAGCCUGCAUCCCCUGGAACCAAAAGCUGUUUCAGCUGGGGCACAGAAGAUACUGCCUCUGUAUUAUAAAACCCAUCAUUUCAGUUUACUCAUGACCUCCUGAUACAAGGCUAGACAUGAUCAGAAAAGGAAUAGAGAUCAAACAUUAUUACGUCCCUACAUAAAUCUACGCAGUUCUGAUCACACUAUCUCAAACAGGAUGCUCAGGAAAGGGCAAGGAUGAUAGAUGUUGUGGAUUAUAUGUCAUGAGAGCAAGUCACAUUCUCCAGUCUGUGAGGAGACAGUGAAGGCCUGCCAUGGAGGUCUGCUGUGAAUAGCAUGGAGAAGAGUACUCCAAAGAAUUUUUACCCUUCCUUCGUCACCACUCUGCUUGGAUGCCUUUGUAGUGAUGGGAGAAAACAUCUAUGUGAUGCCAAAGGUGAAGUUCCAUGUCUUGUCCAAGUUUACAAACAACUUAUAUCUAUUUAGUGGGUGAGAUCC